UUUUAUAUAGACUAUCUUAUUUGGCCUUUGUCUACAGCCCUGUGAACUAUUUCCAUUUCUUGGAUGAAGAAAUAGACUGAGAAAAAUUGUAUGAUUUGGCCAUAAUCACAUAGCUUAACAAGUGCAAAAACCAGGACUUGAAACCAAAGCUUCCUAACUGCCUUUCUGGUGCUCUUUCCAAGACUCUGGGAGGCCUCCCCAAAUGGAGAUGGGCCUGAAGAGCAAGACGAAAAAACACAUGAGGAUAACCAUCUCCAGAGGUUUGAUCAAACCCUAAGACUCUGGGUCCUUUCUCCAACUGGUAAAUUCUUCCCCAAACUUCCAUUUUGACGAAGUUCCCAGAGCAGUCCCCUUCAUUCUCUGGAUUUUGCCAUUAUGCUUUAUCUGUGUUCUCCUUCUUCCCCUUUGGGUCCUUCUUUCAUUAACAAAGUCUUCCUAGAACUUCUGUCUUGAGGGCAAAGACAAACCAUCCAUCAUAACUCUGAGUAUGUAUUCCCCUUCCCCUUCUACUUUUCAGCUACUUUUUAAUAUGUUGUCUUCCUCCAUUAAAAUGCAAGCUCCUUAAGGAUGGGAAUAUGUUUUUACUUGUAUUUGUAAACCCCAACACUUAACAUGGUUUCAUAGUAAAGACUUAAUAAAAUGCUUGUUGAUGAUUAUAAGUCA
rnacentral:lncRNA from 1 species